GCGCCGGUAACUCAGUGGUAGAGUGUAGGACUGCAGUGAAACCAAAACCGCCUUCCCGAAGUCACCAGUUCGACUCUGGUUCGGCGCU